rnacentral:rRNA from 3 species
CAGCCAUGCCGCGUGUGUGAAGAAGGCCUUCGGGUUGUAAAGCACUUUCAGCGAGGAAGAACGCCUAGUGGUUAAUACCCAUUAGGAAAGACAUCACUCGCAGAAGAAGCACCGGCUAACUCCGUGCCAGCAGCCGCGGUAAUACGGAGGGUGCGAGCGUUAAUCGGAAUUACUGGGCGUAAAGCGCGCGUAGGUGGCUUGAUAAGCCGGUUGUGAAAGCCCCGGGCUCAACCUGGGAACGGCAUCCGGAACUGUCAAGCUAGAGUGCAGGAGAGGAAGGUAGAAUUCCCGGUGUAGCGGUGAAAUGCGUAGAGAUCGGGAGGAAUACCAGUGGCGAAGGCGGCCUUCUGGACUGACACUGACACUGAGGUGCGAAAGCGUGGGUAGCAAACAGGAUUAGAUACCCUGGUAGUCCACGCCGUAAACGAUGUCGACCAGCCGUUGGGUGCCUAGCGCACUUUGUGGCGAAGUUAACGCGAUAAGUCGACCGCC